rnacentral:snRNA from 1 species
AGAGAAUUGAUUGAACCCCCAGAGGCGGAGGUUGCAGUGAGCCAAGAUUGCGCCACUGCACUCCAGCCUGGGAGACAAAG